AAUCUUGUGAUGUAUAUUCGAAAUCUUGUGAUGUAUGUUCGAUAAUCUUGUGAUGUAUAUUCGAAAUCUUGUGAUGUGUGUUCUACAAUUUAGUGAUGCGUGCAAUAAUAUUGCAUGACGCAACAGAAAAGUAAGGACAAUUUUCAUUGGUUAGAAAUAACGAAAGUAGCCGGAGCGCUGAUCCGAUGCACACAACUUCGCAAGUAUGAAAUUGGCGAAUUCAACCUAAAGUCAAAAUUAUAGGUACGUAUGAUCGAUGUAACUUCCUCGAUGGUGUGUUGGCUGUUUGCCCAUGUGUAUUUCGGGGUAUAGGAGUAGCCUCCCCUUUUAAAGAUCCAAAAUGGUGAUUUUACAGUGCGGCAUGCAGUCUGGUCAUCAACAGAGAGUUUUGACACCUGUAAUACCCAUAUUUCUACCAU